rnacentral:sRNA from 1 species
AGCUCCAUGAACUUGCCUCCAGACAAGGCCCGGCUCCUGCGGCAGUAUGACAAUGAGAAGAAAUGGGAUCUGAUCUGUGACCAGGAACGAUUCCAGGUGAAGAAUCCUCCCCACACUUACAUUCAGAAACUCCAGAGCUUCUUGGACCCCAGUGUAACUCGGAAGAAGUUCAGGAGGAGGGUGCAGGAGUCAACCAAAGUACUAAGGGAGCUGGAGAUCUCUCUUCGCACCAACCACAUUGGGUGGGUGCGGGAAUUUCUGAAUGAUGAAAACAAAGGCCUGGAUGUACUGGUGGAUUACCUGUCCUUUGCCCAGUGUUCUGUCAUGUGAGUACCACCCCGGGGCUAAGGUUAGGGACCAGUUCCAUUCUACUUUGAUAAGGAAGGGUGAGAAUUCAACAAUGAAGAUGGAAAUGGGAAUCCUGGACAGGAGGGAAUAGCCCAAGCAGUGGUGUGGAAGUAGGCAGGCAAGCCCAGAGAUGUCUGGGGAUCAGUGAAGAAUGGCACUUGGCUGGAGUAGAAGAUAAGAUGCAUUUUGGAGA